rnacentral:rRNA from 1 species
AGUCGAACGGGACUCUUAGGAGUUCAGUGGCGGACGGGUGAGUAACGCGUGAGAAUCUGGCCUCAGGUUCGGGACAACCACUGGAAACGGUGGCUAAUACCGGAUGUGCCUUUGGGUAAAAGAUUAAUUGCCUGAGGAUGAGCUCGCGUCUGAUUAGCUAGUUGGUAGGGUAAGAGCCUACCAAGGCGUCGAUCAGUAACUGGUCUGAGAGGAUGACCAGUCACACUGGGACUGAGACACGGCCCAGACUCCUACGGGAGGCAGCAGUGGGGAAUUUUCCGCAAUGGGCGAAAGCCUGACGGAGCAAUACCGCGUGAGGGAGGAAGGCUCUUGGGUCGUAAACCUCUUUUCUCAGGGAAGAAAAAAUGACGGUACCUGAGGAAUCAGCAUCGGCUAACUCCGUGCCAGCAGCCGCGGUAAUACGGAGGAUGCAAGCGUUAUCCGGAAUUAUUGGGCGUAAAGCGUCCGCAGGUGGCAAUUCAAGUCUGCUGUCAAAUACCGGGGCUUAACCCUGGAAAGGCAGUGGAAACUGAAUAGCUAGAGUGCGGUGGGGGCAGAGGGAAUUCCCAGUGUAGCGGUGAAAUGCGUAGAGAUUGGGAAGAACACCGGUGGCGAAAGCGCUCUGCUAGGCCGCAACUGACACUCAUGGACGAAAGCUAGGGGAGCGAAUGGGAUUAGAUACCCCAGUAGUCCUAGCCGUAAACGAUGGAUACUAG